UGAAUUUCAAGGAUACAGGUAAUUACAACAGG
rnacentral:piRNA from 1 species